AACGAACGCUGGCGGCAUGCCUAACACAUGCAAGUCGAACGAGACCUUCGGGUCUAGUGGCGCACGGGUGCGUAACGCGUGGGAACCUGCCCUUAGGUUCGGAAUAACUCCCCGAAAGGGAUGCUAAUACCGGAUAAUGUCUUCGGACCAAAGAUUUAUCGCCGUUGGUUGGGCCCGCGUUGGAUUAGCUAGUUGGUAGGGUAAAAGCCUACCAAGGCGACGAUCCAUAGCUGGUAUGAGAGGAUGCUCAGCCACACUGGGACUGGGACACGGCCCAGACUCCUACGGGUGGCAGCAGUGGUGAAGAUUGAACACUGGGCGAAAGCCGGAGCCAGCAAGGCCGCGUGAGUGAUUAAGGCCGUAGGAAUAUAAAGCUCUUUUACCCGGGAUGAUAAUGACAGAACCAGUAGAAUAAGCUCCGCCUAACUCCGU
rnacentral:rRNA from 1 species